AGCGAACGCUGGCGGCAGGCCUACACAUGCAAGUCGAACGAACCUUUCGGGGUUAGUGGCGGACGGGUGAGUAACACGUGGGAACGUGCCUUUAGGUUCGGAAUAACUCAGGGAAACUUGUGCUAAUACCGAAUGUGCCCUUCGGGGGAAAGAUUAAUCGCCUUUAGAGCGGCCCGCGUCUGAUUAGCUAGUUGGUUGAGGUAAUGGCUCACCAAGGCGACGAUCAGUAGCUGGUCUGAGAGGAUGAUCAGCCACAUUGGGACUGAGACACGGCCCAAACUCCUACGGGAAGCAGCAGUGGGGAAUCUUGCGCAAUGGGCGAAAGCCUGACGCAGCCAUGCCGCGUGAAUGAUGAAGGUCUUAGGAUUGUAAAAUUCUUUCACCGGGGACGAUAAUGACGGUACCCGGAGAAGAAGCCCCGGCUAACUUCGUG
rnacentral:rRNA from 1 species